CCAAACACGCCUAUAGAAUUUUGUAUAAGGAAAUCCUAAAGUGAAUAAUUAUAUAAUGGAUUUACAUAUUGAAUCUUUUGGAACUUGCUUGGUAUAUAUUUUGAAGCUGUAACGCUGAUUCAUCGUUUCUUCCAUGACAAAAUCCUUGCAGUGAUUAUUGGUGACAAUGGAGACUAAUUAACCAAUAGAUUUAAAAACUUUUGAUUAAUUGUUCAACCCAAUAGCUAAUAAAUGUUGUGUUUGGUAUUAAGCCCACCGAAGUUUCUGUUUUUUAUCUCCCAAGGCAAGUCAAUAUAUUUUACCUGUUUAAGACAAUAAUAGCGUAUUACUGAAGAAAAAAGCGAGAAAAUGACCAAUUU